rnacentral:rRNA from 1 species
UACGUAGGGGGCAAGCGUUGUCCGGAAUUAUUGGGCGUAAAGCGCGCGUAGGCGGUCCUUUAAGUCUGAUGUGAAAGCCCACGGCUUAACUGUGGAGGGUCAUUGGAAACUGGAGGACUUGAGUGCAGAAGAGGAGAGUGGAAUUCCACGUGUAGCGGUGAAAUGCGUAGAGAUGUGGAGGAACACCAGUGGCGAAGGCGACUCUCUGGUCUGUAACUGACGCUGAGGUGCGAAAGCGUGGGUAGCGAACAGGAUUAGAUACCCCAGUAGU